GGUCAAGCUACAAAGGGCGCAUGGUGAAUGCCUUGGCAUCAGGAGCCGAUGAAGGACGUGAUAAGCUGCGAUAAGCUUCGGGUAGGCGCACAUAGCCAGAGAUCCGGAGAUUUCCGAAUGGGG
rnacentral:rRNA from 1 species